rnacentral:rRNA from 1 species
GGCCCCGCACAAGCGGUGGAUGAUGUGGUUUAAUUCGAUGCAACGCGAAAAACCUUACCUACCCUUGACAUGUACGGAACUUGCCAGAGAUGGCUUGGUGCUCGAAAGAGAGCCGUAACACAGGUGCUGCAUGGCUGUCGUCAGCUCGUGUCGUGAGAUGUUGGGUUAAGUCCCGCAACGAGCGCAACCCUUGUCAUUAGUUGCUACAUUUAGUUGAGCACUCUAAUGAGACUGCCGGUGACAAACCGGAGGAAGGUGGGGAUGACGUCAAGUCCUCAUGGCCCUUAUGGGUAGGGCUUCACACGUCAUGACAAUGGUCGGUACAGAGGGUUGCUAAGGCCGCGAGGUGGAGCCAA